UACAGAGGGUGCAAGCGUUGUUCGGAAUUAUUGGGCGUAAAGGGCGCGUAGGCGGCGCAACAAGUCACUUGUGAAAUCUCCGGGCUUAACCCGGAGCGGCCAAGUGAUACUGUCGUGCUAGAGUGCGGAAGGGGCUACUGGAAUUCUCGGUGUAGCGGUGAAAUGCGUAGAUAUCGAGAGGAACACCUGCGGCGAAGGCGGGUAGCUGGGCCGACACUGACGCUGAGGCGCGAAAGCCAGGGGAGCGAACGGG
rnacentral:rRNA from 1 species